CGGCACAGUCUCUAGUCUAUUUCAAUCACAACACUUAACACUUUGCAGGACCUUUCUUCUUUUGUCGGUGUGUGGACUUGUCUCUCUUAUGUCGAUUAAUGUACAAAACUUUAAGUUCUCCCUUUUUGAUAAUCAGCUAGUAUGGGGAAAGACUUGGCUGGCUGCUGGGUUUUCCUUGUCUCUCCCUGUCUGUCCUUCUCUUGUCUGCCUCUCCAAACUGGCCGGGACCCUCGGAACUUUCGGAAUUGACCGACUCUUCUCACGUGCUCUUUGGUUUACUCCGAUUCUCUCUCUCUACUCAAAUUUUUCCGACCCUUUUAUUGCCAUCUUCCGCUAUCGGUCAUGUGGAUGAAAGACGUUUUAUCAAUAACGG
rnacentral:lncRNA from 1 species